rnacentral:lncRNA from 1 species
UUCAGCCUCUUGGGGCCCCUUACCUACCGAAAGUGCUAGAAACAAGGCCCAGACUUACCACAGAUGCAGAGCAGGGUUAGAGCCACCAGCAAAAGAGCGCUGCUCCCUUUCAUGAUGACAGUCACAAGAACUGCUUGGGGGAUACCAGGCUUUUAUGCUGUAGAAGGUGGCACCUUGCCCGGGGGGCGGGGCAUACCUUUCAGGACCUGGCAGGACAACUGGGCCAGGCAUGUCACUGUGCUCCAUUAGGUGCCAAGAAGUGCCAAACUUGAGUGGAUCAUAAGGGGGCAGUUGGCAAACAUGUCGGGAAAUACUCAUUGUACAGGUCGUCGUCUUGUAAGAAGGCUGUCUUUUGAGCCCACGGCCAUUACCACCUUCACGGGAAGCAGCUAUGACUGUUCAUGAAUGAUCCCCAAGAAUACAUAGCUCAUGGAAGAGUAACCUGAUGGGAAACCCCAUCUAUUCAGCUCUGGGGAUGUCAGGAUCUAUGCUGGGCAGUGCCUUGUUGGUCAAACAGAUGUUUGAGUCACCCAUAUUCUUGUGGUGUAGGACCAUGGGCUCAGCAGCAGAGGUACGUGGAACUUCUGGGUCUCCUUUGUAAUAGUGAAAACCACCUGUGAGAAGCAGAGAAGGUUCUUGAAGACACUGAAGAUGGUGAGUCCUUCCUGCAAUAGCCCCUGGGUCUUCCAGACAUCAGGAGGUCAGGUGCCAUGCCGGCUAAGAAGCGAGAGAUGCUUAUAUAAGAUCUGAUGUUACCGUUUGAAUAGUGUCUCCUAUAAGAGAUGUUAGUUGGUAGGCUUUGGGGGAUGUGAUUUGACACUGAGGGCUCUGCUCUGGUUGAAUCAACUGGUUAAACUUUUGGGAUUAACUGGAUCCAUCAUGUGAUACACUAUUAGUAGGUAUUGAAACUUGGAGGAAGGUCCCUGAGUAGAGUCCUAGGGGACAUUGUCUUCCCUUGUGUUCAUUUCUUCUGCUUGUCCCCCAUGAGGUGACAGCUCUCCUCUUUUAUAUGCCCCCACUGCCGUAGUGAGUGUGUGGAGCCAAGAAAUCAUGGGCUGAGAUAAUGAGACCAAAUAAAUAAUUCUCCCUUAAGC